CUUGGCCGAGUGGUUAGGCAACGGUCUGCAAAACCGGUGACGGCGGUUCAAAUCCGCC
rnacentral:tRNA from 1 species